GGAUGUUAUGAUGUGAUAGGAAAAGUGAUAGUAUGUGUGUUGGUGUGUGAUAGUGGUUCCAGAGGCCAUGUGGACAUCCCGUCGUGGAUCUGGAUGCAGUGCACCAUGGACCUGACCAGCAUCGCAUUUCCGCCCUCCAAAGUUGGAGCCAAAAAUGGCCAAAAGGUGUAACUUUUUUGCCGGGCGGAGGACGCCCCAAUAAUAUUUUUGUUGAACGACCGCAUUCGUAAAAUUCGAGGGCUAUGAUAUACGGUGCACAGAUGCCGCGCAAACUUGUUUCAAUAUCUCCUAAACAGAGAUAUUCAAAAAAUUAAUAAAUGUAUUAAAUUGUAAAUGUUAAAUAAAUGAAAUAAACCUUUGACCUAAAACACAGAA